UCUUUUUAUGGGCAUGUAUGUUUUUUAUCUCAUUUUUUGAAUAGAAAUGCUUAUUCUUCAUAAUAUACAUCUAAAAUUUCUGUUAUUUUAAGAAUACAUUGUCAAAAAAUUGUAUUUUUACGUUAACUUAGUACAGUACAAACAUCCACAUAAUAUGUAAAAACACUACAUUGAUAAUUUAAUUAACUAGAGCUGUGAAUCAUUAAAUGUCUUAAGUAGUGGAGUAGUAUGUAUUCAACAUCUAUUUUUGGCUAGAAGUUUCUAGACUUUAUAGUCUUCCUGAGAUUGGUAAAUACGAUUCUGCCUCCAGGGUUAAAUCUGUAAUGUGCUAUUAAAAGAGCACUUAAAAAACAUUUUGAAAAGAGACUCAUGAUCAGUAGGAUUCAUAAAGAACAAUUUCAGACCAACUUUCCAUGCUAUAUAGGGUACCUAGACCUAGAUGAGGAGGUUGUGUUGAAACACAUUGUUGUUUCUUCUUUUCAGCAUGAUAAGUGCCUCAUAUUGUCUUUGUGGAUAAAGUGGAGAAAAGUGUGGACAAAUCAUAUAGUUAUUUGGGUCAUAGCUGGGUUAAUAACCAAAACCAGAUGAAUUUGUGUUAGCCAGAAAGGAGGUCUCUGUGAUUCUGGUUUGGGCCCAAACUUUAACAAAUAUUCUUUCAUGCAUAUUAUGCUCAUAUGCUCAUCAGAUCUGCGAUGUGUUAAAUAUUAAUAUAAUACAGUCAAAGUUUAAAAUUAUUUUACAGCAAAUUACAGUGAUGGACCAAAUGAAGCAAAAUAAACUGAGCAGAGAUAACCUAGUAUCUGAAGAUUAUUUUAACCUCUUCUUGAGGUAGCAUGUUCAUCAUUGGUCAUACUCAAACAUAGACUGAGAAAGCAGUUACUGGAGACACCGAGGAGGAGAAUUAUCUAUACGGUAGACCAUCUUUGAUACUUCCAAAUCUCAGAUAUUAUGAGUCCUGGUUUUUUAAGAGAGAAUGAAGGAGGUAUGUGAGGAUUCAAUUCUGUAGUGUGUGCCUCCGAGGAUGUUUGUUAGGGAAGUAGUUCCUUACCAAUCAUUGUACAAGUAAUGAAUGGUACAAGUAAAUUUUUGCAAGUAGUAACACUUUGAAGAUUCAGGUAUUGUGGAGUUUUUUAGCGAAGAUUCCAGGAAAAUUAAUUUUCCCUUUGCCAUCUGCCAAUGAAGCUAUGGUGCUUGUUUCAAAAAUUAUUAAUAUCAUAAAUAUUUGGUUC